GUCUGAGGCACCCUUUAGAACUCUGAAGAUUAGAAGGAACUUUUUUGCCAAAUGGAAGUCUGACAUUUUUAAUGAAAGUAAAAUAUACCAGCUAUUCUUUGUGAAAUUAUUCUGAGAGAUUUCUAAAAAUUUCCCACAACAUUGAAGACCUCACAGGAAAAUGGAACACAGCUAAGGA